UAUACAUGCAAGUCGAGCGGACAGAAGGGAGCUUGCUCCCGGAUGUUAGCGGCGGACGGGUGAGUAACACGUGGGUAACCUGCCUGUAAGACUGGGAUAACUCCGGGAAACCGGAGCUAAUACCGGAUAGUUCCUUGAACCGCAUGGUUCAAGGAUGAAAGACGGUUUCGGCUGUCACUUACAGAUGGACCCGCGGCGCAUUAGCUAGUUGGUGAGGUAACGGCUCACCAAGGCGACGAUGCGUAGCCGACCUGAGAGGGUGAUCGGCCACACUGGGACUGAGACACGGCCCAGACUCCUACGGGAGGCAGCAGUAGGGAAUCUUCCGCAAUGGACGAAAGUCUGACGGAGCAACGCCGCGUGAGUGAUGAAGGUUUUCGGAUCGUAAAGCUCUGUUGUUAGGGAAGAACAAGUGCAAGAGUAACUGCUUGCACCUUGACGGUACCUAACCAGAAAGCCACGGCUAACUACGUGCCAGCAGCCGCGGUAAUACGUAGGUGGCAAGCGUUGUCCGGAAUUAUUGGGCGUAAGCGCGCGCAGGUGGUUUCUUAAGUCUGAUGUGAAAGCCCACGGCUCAACCGUGGAGGGUCAUUGGAAACUGGGAAACUUGAGUGCAGAAGAGGAAAGUGGAAUUCCAUGUGUAGCGGUGAAAUGCGUAGAGAUAUGGAGGAACACCAGUGGCGAAGGCGACUUUCUGGUCUGUAACUGACACUGAGGCGCGAAAGCGUGGGGAGCRAACAGGAUUAGAUACCCUGGUAGUCCACGCCGUAAACGAUGAGUGCUAAGUGUUAGRGGGUUUCCGCCCYUUAGUGCUGMAGYUAACGCAUUAAGCACUCCGCCUGGGGAGUACGGYCGCAAGACUGAAACUCAAAGGAAUUGACGGGGGCCCGCACAAGCGGUGGAGCAUGUGGUUUAAUUCGAAGCAACGCGAAGAACCUUACCAGGUCUUGACAUCCUCUGACAACCCUAGAGAUAGGGCUUUCCCUUCGGGGACAGAGUGACAGGUGGUGCAUGGUUGUCGUCAGCUCGUGUCGUGAGAUGUUGGGUUAAGUCCCGCAACGAGCGCAACCCUUGAUCUUAGUUGCCAGCAUUCAGUUGGGCACUCUAAGGUGACUGCCGGUGACAAACCGGAGGAAGGUGGGGAUGACGUCAAAUCAUCAUGCCCCUUAUGACCUGGGCUACACACGUGCUACAAUGGACAGAACAAAGGGCUGCGAGACCGCAAGGUUUAGCCAAUCCCACAAAUCUGUUAUCAGUUCGGAUCGCAGUCUGCAACUCGACUGCGAGAAGCUGGAAUCGCUAGUAAUCGCGAUCAGCAU
rnacentral:rRNA from 2 species